rnacentral:rRNA from 1 species
UACGUAGGUGGCAAGCGUUGUCCGGAUUUACUGGGCGUAAAGAGCGCGCAGGCGGUCGUUCAAGUCGCGUGUGAAAGCCCCCGGCUCAACUGGGGAGGGUCACGCGAUACUGAUCGACUCGAAGGCAGGAGAGGGUAGUGGAAUUCCCGGUGUAGUGGUGAAAUGCGCAGAUAUCAGGAGGAACACCAAUGGCGAAGGCAGCUCGCUGGAACGGUACUGACGCUGAGGCGCGAAAGCGUGGGGAGCAAACAGG